GAUGGAUGUUUUAUCUAACGGAGGUCUGGAGUGGUUGUAUGUGUUUUCCGAGAAAUGUGGUUGUGGCGGCAUGCGGCCUCGAGAGCGGGCCGAGCCACGUGUGAUGUUGCCUCGGAGGUGCCGAUGCAAUGGGACAUACAUUGUAUUAGUAAUCAAAACUCCAGGCAGAAACUGCCUAGCAACGGCGUUUGGAACUUUCUCGAUGCUUCCAACGAGUGUGCCUAGCAACGGCGUUUGGAACCUUCUCGAUGCCUCCAAACGGGUAUAGAAAACAAAAUGCAAUCGUACAGGGAGAAAAAUCUCCACGAGGCUGGCAUUCUUGCGAUUGCCUUGGAGAGUGAUACAUCGAGCAUUUUCGACGAUCGCAUUUGCGUCUAAGUUAGUUUCGCUUAGUAAGGAGUUAUCCCGGUGACCGUGGAUUCGUUUGAACUCAAACAUUGCUAAUAGUAUUAUUUAAUUUAAUUAUUCGUAGAUCGUAUUAUUCAUUAGGCUUAGUGUUUGUUAGACUUAUUAUUAGUCGUACUUAUUAUUUGUUAAGCUUAGUGAUAGACCUGUAUAUACGUGUAAAUAAAAUCUCGGCUUUGUGAAACGAUGGCUAGUCCACAUGAAGAGUCGUCGCGCGCCCAAAAUUCGAAUCGUGAUCCGACAUAUAUAUAUAUAUAUAUAUAUAUAUAUAUAUAUAUAUAUAUAUAUAUAUAUAUAUAUAUAUAUAUAUAUUACAUUUGUAGUUGCGCAUAGAUUUUAUUAAAGAAAAGUGUUAACAAUGUGUUUUCAUGAUUUAUUUCUCGCGCCUGACUUCCAUUAAUCCUUAAUAUUCCUGUAGCCGUGACGCCUGUAAAUCUAACAUGGCUGCUCAUAAAUGUCAUCAGCAAAGUUAUAGUGACGGGUCUUUAAUUUUGUUUAAUAUCGAAGUAAUUUUCCGUCUGCCGCUCGUUUUUCCUUAUUCUACCGCAAUUAGAACAUUUAUUUAUUAAUAUUGUUUUAAAGUGACAAUAGUAUUAUUCGUGUGAAUAUACGUAUAUAUAUAUAUAUAUAUAUAUAUGUUUAUGUUGUGUAUCAUUUCAAUAUGGCUAAUGUUUUGUAAUUCUUCGAUUGCGUUAUUUAUUGUUUUGAGUAGUUUAUUUUAUAGAGUGUUCGAUAAUAUAAAACAUACGCACACACACAUAUGUAUAUAUAUAUAUACGUAUUCAUAUGCAUAUUUCUUCUGGCAGUGUAGUAUUCAUACGAAGUGAAAUGUCAAUUAUUUAUUUUAUAUUAACUUCAUUUAAUAAGAUAGAACACGCACACGCACACGUAUAUAUGUAUAUAUUUCUGGCAAUGUGAUUUUCAUUUAGAUUCUUUAGCGAUGUAAUGUUGUGUAUUUCAGGUUAUGUGUCAAUCAUUUGAUUUCAUAUAUACAUAUAUAUCUUGUAUUGUGACAACAUAGUAUGGAAGGUUUUGUUUCUAGAUUAUUGUGUGUUUAAUGUGUGUUUACAUAUUUGUGUUUGAUGAUAGAAUUUCUGUACGCAAUUCCUCAAGUCGUUGCGCUGUUAAUUAUUUUGAGCGUUUGGCCUAUCGACAGAUUGUCGCUUAGUCCCAAGUGUUGCGUUGUGUGUUCUAUUUCUUUUGUAGAUUAUUAGUAGUAGUUUUAGUUGAGAAAAUAGAUUAUUUAUAUGUUUAUAUAGAAACAUGCAUGUUUCGUAAUGUAGUUCUUAUUUUAUAACUCUUUACCGGAAUGUAGGCUAGUUUUAAGUAUGUAUCUUAGAUUACUGUUUGAUAGAAUGCGCACACAUAUAUAUAUGUUUCUGACAAUGUAACCUUUAUUUCUUUAAUAAUACAAUAUUGUAUGUUUUAUGUAUUCGUUAGACUAUUAGUUUUUGACUUCAUAUAUACUUAUAUUUCAUAAAUUGAUAAUAUUGUAUUUGUUGCAUAGUAUCGGAAGUAUUGUCUCUAAUAUUUACUAGUUUAUUACAUGUCUGGCAUAUAUGUUUAUACUUAUAUGUAACUCUCCAAGUUGAUUGAUUAAAAUAUAUUUAUAUAUACAUGUAUUCCUGGCGUUUCAAUUAUUUCCCCUUUUGUAGUUAUUCUUAUUUCCUGGCUUAUUUGUUUGGUUCGUAACUCGUUCAAUCCAUUAGCUGGUUCUAUUUAUUUUAUUUUAUACUGGUUGGAUUUAUAUUAUAUUGAACCACAAGUUUUCAAAUUGCAAGUCGGCUAUUGGUAGGUUUAUUUAGAGUUGUGUGUAUGUGUAUUUUGUUUAUUGGUUGGAUCUAUUAGUCGCCCUCGUUUUGUUAAUCCUUCCUUUAGUUUCGUAGCGCCGUGUGUUCGUUUGUGCAUUCAAAUCAUUAUUCGCGCGUUUUGUAUAGAAUGAUUUUCUUGUUCUUGUUACGGCGCGUGCGGAGCGCGGGCGGUUUUACGUACUUGUUAUCAGUGAAAAUAAAUAUUAUGAAUACUACUUGGGUUAUAAUUAUAUACAUAUAUGCGUACGUAUUGG